AAACUUUCGACAACGGAUCUCUUGGUUCUCCCAUCGAUGAAGAACGCAGCGAAAUGCGAUAAGUAAUGUGAAUUGCAGAAUUCAAGUGAAUCAUCGAAUCUUUGAACGCACCUUGCGCUCUUGGGUAAUCCCAAGAGCAUGCCUGUUUGAGUGUCAU
rnacentral:rRNA from 1 species